rnacentral:rRNA from 1 species
CGCCGCUGGCGGCAGGCUUAACACAUGCAAGUCGAGCGCCCCGCMGGGGAGCGGCAGACGGGUGAGUAACGCGUGGGAACGUACCAUUUGCUACGGAAUAACUCAGGGAAACUUGUGCUAAUACCGUAUGUGCCCUUCGGGGGAAAGAUUUAUCGGCAAAUGAUCGGCCCGCGUUGGAUUAGCUAGUUGGUGGGGUAAAGGCUCACCAAGGCGACGAUCCAUAGCUGGUCUGAGAGGAUGAUCAGCCACACUGGGACUGAGACACGGCCCAGACUCCUACGGGAGGCAGCAGUGGGGAAUAUUGGACAAUGGGCGCAAGCCUGAUCCAGCCAUGCCGCGUGAGUGAUGAAGGCCCUAGGGUUGUAAAGCUCUUUCACCGGUGAAGAUAAUGACGGUAACCGGAGAAGAAGCCCCGGCUAACUUCGUGCCAGCAGCCGCGGUAAAUA